UUAGCCAGGAGUCGAAUUUCAAAUCGGAGCAAUUAUUGGCGUUGCAGAGUGAAGCCGCUGCACUCAAGGAGGUUGGUGAAGAACUGAAAUUGAAAAUAAUGGAGACAGGUCAUAGAGGGGAACUUCUAGAAAUUGAAAAUUGUAACCUGGCAAAAGCAUUGCAGUUGGCAGAAGAUGAGUUGAAGACUGUUAAAAGUAUGAUGGAUCAGCUCAAUUUUCAAGUAGUUGCUAGCAAAAAUCUGAUGUCUGAAAAGGACACUGAGCUUCAAGGAAUGGAACAGAAGCUUUAUCUUACUGAAACUGAGAAAGUUGUGUUGCAUCAAUUUUUGAUGAAUGAAGUCGCUGCACUCAAAGAGGGUAGUGAAGAACUGAAAUUGAAAAUAAGGGAGAAAGAUCGCAGAGGGGAACUGCUAGAAAUUGAAAAUUGUGACCUAGCAAAAGCAUUGCAGUUGGCAGAGGAUGAGUUGAAGACUCUUAAAAGUAUGACGGAUCAGCUCAAUCUUCAAGUAAAUGUUGGCAAAAAUCUGUUGUCUGAGAAGGACACUGAGCUACAGGGAAUGGAACAGAAGCUUUAUCUAACUGAAACUGAAAAAGCUGUGUUGCAUCAAAUUUUGAUGAAUGAAGUUGCUGCACUCAAAGAGGGUAGUGAAGAACUGAAAUUGAUAAUAAGGGAGAAAGAUCGCAGAGGGGAACUGCUAGAAAUUGAAAAUUGUGACCUAGCAAAAGCAUUGCAGUUGGCAGAGGAUGAGUUGAAGACUCUUAAAAGUAUGACGGAUCAGCUCAAUCUUCAAGUAAAUGUUGGCAAAAAUCUGUUGUCUGAGAAGGACACUGAGCUUCAGGGAGUGGAACAGAAGCUUUAUCUUACUGAAACUGAGAAAGCUGUGUUGCAUCAAAUUUUGAUGAAUGAAGUUGCUGCACUCAAAGAGGGUAGUGAAGAACUGAAAUUGAUAAUAAGGGAGAAAGAUCGCAGAGGGGAACUGCUAGAAAUUGAAAAUUGUGGCCUAGCAAAAGCAUUGCAGUUGGCAGAGGAUGAGUUGAAGACUCUUAAAAGUAUGACGGAUCAGCUCAAUCUUCAAGUAAAUGUUGGCAAAAAUCUGUUGUCUGAGAAGGACACUGAGCUUCAGGGAAUGGAACAGAAGCUUUAUCUUACUGAAACAGAGAAAGCUGUGUUACAUCAUAUUUUGAAGAGUGAAGUUGCUACACUCAAAGAGGGUAGUGAAGAACUGAAAUUGAAAAUAAGGGAGAAAGAUCACAGAGGGGAACUGCUAGAAAUUGAAAAUUGUAACCUGGCAAAAGCAUUGCAGUUGGCAGAAGAUGAGUUGAAGACUGUUAAAAGUAUGAUGGAUCAGCUCAAUCUUCAAGUAAAUGUUGGCAAAGAUCUGUUGUCUGAGAAGGACACUGAGCUUCAGGGAAUGGAACAAAAACUUUAUCUUACUGAAACUGAGAAAGCUGUAUUGCAUCAAAUUUUGAAGAACUUGAGCAGAGAACUUAUUGGGAGUAAAAUAAUUAUGGAGGACCAAGAAAAGAAGAUCCUAAAGUUGUGUGCUGACAGCAACCAACUGCGCACAGAAAACAUGCACCUUUUUGAGGCCAGUCAGCUAUUGCAGGAAGGGCUUCAGCAAUCAGGUGGUGAGCUUGAAAAGCUAAAGAUGCAAGAGGAAGCGUUGCACUCUGAGCUCCAGAAGCAAUUGAAUGAGAUUAAGACAUGGAAGUUAGAGAUGGAUGUGCUUUUAGGCGAGUUGCAGGUCUCGAUGUUCUACCAUAUCCUUUAUGAGCAGAAGAUUCAUGAGCUUGCAGAAGCAUGUCAAAGCUUUGAUGUCCAAAUCACUUCAAAGGAUAAGGACAUUAAACUUCUGAAAGAAAAAGUGAGCACUUUGGGUACUGAAAAUGAAGACCUUAACACUCAGUUAGCUGCAUAUGGACCUGCAAUCUUCUCUUUGAGCCAAUGCAUAUCAUCCCUAGAGAAGCACUCCUAUUUGCAUGGGAAACCCAAAAGGCCUGAUAAUGAGGACACAAAGGUAACUGCUUCUACACUAAUGUCCCCUGCUUGACUUCUUUUAGCUGGACAGUAAAAUAAGUAAUAUCAUAUUAGAAAGCUUUUGAAAUUAAUCUUGUCCGUUAAAAUGCUAAUUGGCUACUGAUAUGUGAUAUGUAUAAUGUAUGCGUGUGUCUGUAUUAUAUGCCACAAGUUGUUCCUCACUUGUAGAAAGAUACAUUCUCAAUUGUAUCACGUGAAUUUAUUAACUGUUGUAUCAUCUGUUAUCCUCUCCAUCCGUGUGGUAAGUUGCAAUGGUACUCUCGUCACCAGGGCCCAGGUGUUUUUUUCCGUCUUGCAUUUUCCUCCUAAAUCAUGUUGCAUCCUGUCUAGGUUGCCUUAGAAUACUUUCUUUAAGCAGUCUUAGGUUUGUUGGUUUCAUACAUCGUACUUUUAACAAUGACGUGAACACACUUAAGAGCCUGCUAAUUUUCAUAGACACAUUAAUUAAUAUGUGAUGGACCUCGAUAUUUGGCAUGGACAAUAUGAUGAUCAGAAUUAGUUAUUUUUUCCUAGAAUUUAGUGACAAGAAGCUUGAUUUCCCCAAGUGACGCUAAAUCUCAUAGUGUAGGGUAAAAAUACGAGACACAUUGUAAACAUUUGUGUACAAAAGUGGACCCAUGCAUGAUGCUUCUGCAAUAUGAAAUUUCGAGAAAUUAGAUCAACGGAGACUUAGCACUGCAUUCUAAAGGUUAUUUUGAAGAAUUUAGACCUUGUCAAUAAGUAGAAAUUAAGGUUUUCUUUUUUCCUUGUUAUGUGAGAUAAAGAUUAUCAUCUUGGCUUAUUUUCAGGACAUUGUAGUAGCUCCUACAGAUGACAGCACUCAUUUGAAAGACAAUGAAAAUGCAGUGACAACCGAUGCAUUUUUUGAUCUGCAUGGAUUGGAAAUAAGGGUUCGAGCUGUUGAGAAGACAUUGGUUGAAAUGGAGCAGCUUGUGGUGAAGGAAAAUGUGAACAUGCAUAGCAAACUACAGGCUGCAAUGCAACAAAUUGAGGAGUUAAAGUCAGAGAGUAGCCGACAUAGAAGAAAUUCAGCACCUAAAUCUGAAAUCUUUGAGGCAGAAAACGGAAUCCUCACCAAGGACAUCAUGCUUGACCAUGUAUCUGAGUGUUCAUCCUAUAGAAAUGGCAGGAGAGAGCAGGAUAAUCUAGUUUUUGACCUAUGGGAUACUACCAGUCCUACUGCUGGUAAAGCAAAGUUGGAUGAUACUCCAAAUGCUGAAAAUGAUAUUGAUUUCCAUAAACGUGUUCUAUCAGUGAAGAAAAAGUGUCAACGUCCUGCCUCAGAUGUGCUAAGUGAGAAGUAUUCAGAUGAGGGCAAACUGAACAUCUCAAAGAGAUCAACAGAGUCCAUUCAAGAGGGAAACAAGAGGAGGGUCUUACAGAGGCUUGAUUCUGAUGUGCAGAAAUUAACUAACCUUCAGAUCACAGUACUAGACUUGAAGAGGGAACUUGAGAUUACUGAGAAGGGAAAAAGGGGUAAAGCUGUAGCUGAAUCAGACACUCUCAAAGGAC
rnacentral:lncRNA from 1 species